GACGAACGCUGGCGGCGUGCUUAACACAUGCAAGUCGAACGAUGAACUUGGAGCUUGCUCUGGGGGAUUAGUGGCGAACGGGUGAGUAACACGUGAGUAACCUGCCCUGGACUCUGGGAUAACUUCGAGAAAUCGGAGCUAAUACCGGAUAGGACCUUGCACCGCAUGGUGUGGGGUGGAAAGUUUUUCGGUUUGGGAUGGACUCGCGGCCUAUCAGCUUGUUGGUGAGGUAAUGGCUCACCAAGGCGUCGACGGGUAGCCGGCCUGAGAGGGUGACCGGCCACACUGGGACUGAGACACGGCCCAGACUCCUACGGGGGGCAGCAGUGGGGAAUAUUGCACAAUGGGCGCAAGCCUGAUGCAGCAACGCCGCGUGCGGGAUGACGGCCUUCGGGUUGUAAACCGCUUUUAGUAGGGAAGAAGCCUUCGGGUGACGGUACCUGCAGAAAAAGGACCGGCUAACUACGUGCCAGCCGCCGCGGUAAUAC
rnacentral:rRNA from 1 species